AACGCGAAGAACCUUACCUGGGUUGAACUACGCAGGAAAAGCCGUAGAGAUACGGUGUCCGCAAGGGCCUGCGAUAGGUGGUGCAUGGCUGUCGUCAGCUCGUGUCGUGAGAUGUUGGGUUAAGUCCCGCAACGAGCGCAACCCUUGUCCUAUGUUGCCAGCGGAUAAUGCCGGGGACUCGUAGGAGACUGCCGGGGCCAACUCGGAGGAAGGUGGGGAUGAGGUCAAGUCAUCAUGCCCCUUAUGUCCAGGGCUGCACACAUGCUACAAUGGCCGGUACAAAGGGCUGCUAUUCCGCGAGGAUGAGCGAAUCCCAAAAAGCCGGCCUAAGUUCGGAUUGCAGUCUGCAACUCGACUGCAUGAAGUCGGAGUCGCUAGUAAUCCCGGAUCAGCAUCGCCGGGGUGAAUACGUUCCCGGGCCUUGUACACACCGAUAGC
rnacentral:rRNA from 1 species